UGUAUGAUAAGGCACAGUUUUAGCCCCCAAAUUUUGAAGAAAAUGAAAUUAAAACUACAUCUCAACGAUAUGAAUUAUUUGAAAGAUAAAGGAUUAAUCUUGCAUUUUAUAAAGAAAAAAUGCAACAGUUUUGCCUAAAAAGUCAUGAUACAUGGUCUAGUUUCAUGCCAUCAACAGAGAUUUUGUACAUUUUUAGACAUUUUCGUGCACUUUAUCACCAAAAUACGAUACGAGCGCAGGGGAGAACAAUUUUAAUUUUUGGAUAUGUUUUGAGGAUUGCAAAAACACGAAGAAUGAUACAUGAGAGAAAAUUGUUCUAAAGUGCGCUCGUAGUAAAUUUUGAACAAAUACGGUAUUUUCGUCGGAAAAUUCUACUCUAAAAAUAGCCAUGUAAAGGGACGAAACUCUUGAUCUCCUUGAAGAGCUUGGCGUAAAGGUAAAUAAAAACAUGUUGUGACGUAAUGCGGAAGUGAUAUCGGUUGCUUGAAAAAUGGAUUUUUGUCAAAUUACAGUGAACAAGUUAUUGUGAGAUAGUCUGAUUACUUUGGAGCUGCCAGAUUGUGUAUGGAAUCCAGAACAAAGUAUUUCAACAACUUUUUCAUGAACCACAGAAACUUCACCUUACCAAAUUGUAGGACCAGACAUUGUGAGAAAGUUUGAUUGCAUUCACUGCCAGAGCUAAAGCUAGAAAAGAAACUAAACAACUUCUUCUCAUGAUCUGCUUAAUUGAUCUUCACAUUGAAUUGUCAACCUGUAAGCUACAUUGUAUAAUGACGUUGAGCAAAUAAAGAUACUGCAGUCAGCGUUACAACCUUCAUUAAACAGAAUGAAUUGGUGUUACAGAAAUGGAUAACAUAUGGAGACAAACACUUUCAGGCUACAGAAACUACACUAUGAGACUAUGAGAAUGGCUUAUUUUCAUGAUGGAACUCAUACCACAAAGAAAGAACUUGCUGUAUCUUGUUUCUUAUAACUAGUCCUCAAAGACAUACCCAAGUAAACUACAACAGGAAUGAAAGCAAACAAAGUUGAUUCAGGAUUUAGAAUUGAAUGUUUUUGUGUCAACAGUGUGUGAAAACUGCGGAAAAUAGGAUUUUAAUUUCAAGGAUUUGAUUUAGUAUGUCAAGGAGUGAUUUAUUUUUAAUUCAUCACACAAAUUAUUGACAAUGCUCUAAAAUAUAAAUAGGAUGUGUAAAUACAGACUUUCAUACCUAACUAAAAUAAUGUUGAACUCAACAGAAUAAACAAACUACCAUCUGUUGUAUAAUAUAUUAGUUGAUUUAUCAAACUUUGUCAGUUUUGUUACAUUACUUAUCAUUGAUAGAAUCUAUUAUCUAAUAACUCUUUACAGUGUGUCAAGUACUCAUCAUUAAAAGCUAUUUUAAAAUAAUUACAGGACUGAUAUUUUACUGGUAUUAGUUAAAUGUGUUGUUAUUAGACCCCUUACAUUUGAAAGUGAGUUUUCUUUAUACAUACAGGAUUCUGCUAUUCCGUCUGUCGGCUAGUCCAGUCUGUCAGAUCUUUGUCCAGAAAUUACAUUUGAAAUAAAAUAUAGCAUCAUUUUCA
rnacentral:lncRNA from 1 species